rnacentral:rRNA from 1 species
CAGGACGAACGCUGGCGGCGUGCCUAAUACAUGCAAGUCGAACGGUCUUUCUAUGGAAGCUUGCUUCCACUGAGAAGAUAGUGGCGAACGGGUGAGUAACACGUGGGUAACCUGCCCAUAAGAGGGGGAUAACAUCCGGAAACGGGUGCUAAUACCGCAUAGUUUUCUUGAUCGCAUGAUUGAGAAAGGAAAGACGGCCUUUGUGCUGUCGCUUAUGGAUGGACCCGCGGCGUAUUAGUUAGUUGGUGAGGUAACGGCUCACCAAGACGAUGAUACGUAGCCGACCUGAGAGGGUGAUCGGCCACAUUGGGACUGAGACACGGCCCAAACUCCUACGGGAGGCAGCAGUAGGGAAUCUUCCGCAAUGGACGAAAGUCUGACGGAGCAACGCCGCGUGAGUGAAGAAAAGGUUUUCGGAUCGUAAAACUCUGUUGUCAGAGAAGAACAAGUUGGAGAGUAACUGCUCCAGCCUUGACGGUAUCUGACCAGAAAGCCACGGCUAACUACGUGCCAGCAGCCGC